UGCCCAGCAACUCCUAUCCCUACCUCCACGCGGUACCGGCCGGAAACUAUGAGCAGCCUUAGGGAAGAUCGGGUAACCAACCCCGGUGGGAACUUUGGUCGUAGGCUGACAGGGAAGG
rnacentral:ribozyme from 1 species